rnacentral:rRNA from 1 species
AGUGAGCGCUGGCGGUAGGCCUAACACAUGCAAGUCGAACGGCAGCACAGUAAGAGCUUGCUCUUACGGGUGGCGAGUGGCGGACGGGUGAGGAAUACAUCGGAAUCUACUUUUUCGUGGGGGAUAACGUAGGGAAACUUACGCUAAUACCGCAUACGACCUACGGGUGAAAGCAGGGGAUCUUCGGACCUUGCGCGAUUGAAUGAGCCGAUGUCGGAUUAGCUAGUUGGCGGGGUAAAGGCCCACCAAGGCGACGAUCCGUAGCUGGUCUGAGAGGAUGAUCAGCCACACUGGAACUUAGACACGGUCCAGACUCCUACGGGAGGCAGCAGUGGGGAAUAUUGGACAAUGGGCGCAAGCCUGAUCCAGCCAUACCGCGUGGGUGAAGAAGGCCUUCGGUUUGUAAAGCCCUUUUGUUGGGAAAGAAAAGCAGCAGGUUAAUACCCCGCUGUUCUGACGGUACCCAAAGAAUAAGCACCGGCUAACUUCGUG